GGUUAAGCGACUAAGCGUACACGGUGGAUGCCCUGGCAGUCAGAGGCGAUGAAGGACGUGCUAAUCUGCGAAAAGCGUCGGUAAGGUGAUAUGAACCGUUAUAACCGGCGAUGUCCGAAUGGGGAAACCCAGUGCAAUUCGUUGCACUAUCGUUAACUGAAUACAUAGGUUAACGAGGCGAACCGGGGGAACUGAAACAUCUAAGUACCCCGAGGAAAAGAAAUCAACCGAGAUUCCCCCAGUAGCGGCGAGCGAACGGGGAGCAGCCCAGAGUCUGAAUCAGCUUGUGUGUUAGUGGAACGGUCUGGAAAGUCCGACGGUACAGGGUGAUAGUCCCGUACACCAAAAUGCACAGGUUGUGAACUCGAAGAGUAGGGCGGGACACGUGGUAUCCUGUCUGAAUAUGGGGGGACCAUCCUCCAAGGCUAAAUACUCCUGACUGACCGAUAGUGAACCAGUACCGUGAGGGAAAGGCGAAAAGAACCCCGGCGAGGGGAGUGAAAAAGAACCUGAAACCGUGUACGUACAAGCAGUGGGAGCACCUUCGGGUGUGACUGCGUACCUUUUGUAUAAUGGGUCAGCGACUUAUAUUCUGUAGCAAGGUUAACCGUAUAGGGGAGCCGCAGGGAAACCGAGUCUUAACUGGGCGUUAAGUUGCAGGGUAUAGACCCGAAACCCGGUGAUCUAGCCAUGGGCAGGUUGAAGGUUGGGUAACACUAACUGGAGGACCGAACCGACUAAUGUUGAAAAAUUAGCGGAUGACUUGUGGCUGGGGGUGAAAGGCCAAUCAAACCGGGAGAUAGCUGGUUCUCCCCGAAAGCUAUUUAGGUAGCGCCUCGUGAACUCAUCUUCGGGGGUAGAGCACUGUUUCGGCUAGGGGGUCAUCCCGACUUACCAACCCGAUGCAAACUACGAAUACCGAAGAAUGUUAUCACGGGAGACACACGGCGGGUGCUAACGUCCGUCGUGAAGAGGGAAACAACCCAGACCGCCAGCUAAGGUCCCAAAGUCAUGGUUAAGUGGGAAACGAUGUGGGAAGGCACAGACAGCCAGGAUGUUGGCUUAGAAGCAGCCAUCAUUUAAAGAAAGCGUAAUAGCUCACUGGUCGAGUCGGCCUGCGCGGAAGAUGUAACGGGGCUAAACCAUGCACCGAAGCUGCGGCAGCGACACUAUGUGUUGUUGGGUAGGGGAGCGUUCUGUAAGCCUGCGAAGGUGUGCUGUGAGGCAUGCUGGAGGUAUCAGAAGUGCGAAUGCUGACAUAAGUAACGAUAAAGCGGGUGAAAAGCCCGCUCGCCGGAAGACCAAGGGUUCCUGUCCAACGUUAAUCGGGGCAGGGUGAGUCGACCCCUAAGGCGAGGCCGAAAGGCGUAGUCGAUGGGAAACAGGUUAAUAUUCCUGUACUUGGUGUUACUGCGAAGGGGGGACGGAGAAGGCUAUGUUAGCCGGGCGACGGUUGUCCCGGUUUAAGCAUGUAGGCUGGUUAUCCAGGCAAAUCCGGAUAAUCAAGGCUGAGGUGUGAUGACGAGGCACUACGGUGCUGAAGUAACAAAUGCCCUGCUUCCAGGAAAAGCCUCUAAGCAUCAGGUAACAUCAAAUCGUACCCCAAACCGACACAGGUGGUCAGGUAGAGAAUACCAAGGCGCUUGAGAGAACUCGGGUGAAGGAACUAGGCAAAAUGGUGCCGUAACUUCGGGAGAAGGCACGCUGGUGUGUAGGUGAAGUCCCUGCGGAUGGAGCUGAGACCAGUCGAAGAUACCAGCUGGCUGCAACUGUUUAUUAAAAACACAGCACUGUGCAAACACGAAAGUGGACGUAUACGGUGUGACGCCUGCCCGGUGCCGGAAGGUUAAUUGAUGGGGUUAUCCGUAAGGAGAAGCUCUUGAUCGAAGCCCCGGUAAACGGCGGCCGUAACUAUAACGGUCCUAAGGUAGCGAAAUUCCUUGUCGGGUAAGUUCCGACCUGCACGAAUGGCGUAAUGAUGGCCAGGCUGUCUCCACCCGAGACUCAGUGAAAUUGAACUCGCUGUGAAGAUGCAGUGUACCCGCGGCAAGACGGAAAGACCCCGUGAACCUUUACUAUAGCUUGACACUGAACAUUGAGCCUUGAUGUGUAGGAUAGGUGGGAGGCUUUGAAGCGUGGACGCCAGUCUGCGUGGAGCCAACCUUGAAAUACCACCCUUUAAUGUUUGAUGUUCUAACGUUGGCCCCUGACCGGGGUUGCGGACAGUGUCUGGUGGGUAGUUUGACUGGGGCGGUCUCCUCCCAAAGCGUAACGGAGGAGCACGAAGGUUAGCUAAUCCUGGUCGGACAUCAGGAGGUUAGUGCAAUGGCAUAAGCUAGCUUGACUGCGAGCGUGACGGCGCGAGCAGGUGCGAAAGCAGGUCAUAGUGAUCCGGUGGUUCUGAAUGGAAGGGCCAUCGCUCAACGGAUAAAAGGUACUCCGGGGAUAACAGGCUGAUACCGCCCAAGAGUUCAUAUCGACGGCGGUGUUUGGCACCUCGAUGUCGGCUCAUCACAUCCUGGGGCUGAAGUAGGUCCCAAGGGUAUGGCUGUUCGCCAUUUAAAGUGGUACGCGAGCUGGGUUUAGAACGUCGUGAGACAGUUCGGUCCCUAUCUGCCGUGGGCGCUGGAGAAUUGAGGGGGGCUGCUCCUAGUACGAGAGGACCGGAGUGGACGCAUCACUGGUGUUCGGGUUGUCAUGCCAAUGGCACUGCCCGGUAGCUAAAUGCGGAAGAGAUAAGUGCUGAAAGCAUCUAAGCACGAAACUUGCCCCGAGAUGAGUUCUCCCUGAGACUUUAAGUCUCCUGAAGGAACGUU
rnacentral:rRNA from 1 species